rnacentral:pre_miRNA from 1 species
ACAGGAAUCACCUGAGGAUCUUGUUAAAAAUGUAGGUUCUGAUUCAGUAGGCCUGUGGUGGGACUUGAGGUUCUGCAUUUCUAAUAUGCUCCCAGGUGAUGCUGAU